rnacentral:rRNA from 1 species
UACGUAGGGGGCAAGCGUUGUCCGGAAUCAUUGGGCGUAAAGAGCGUGUAGGCGGCUUGGUAAGUCCGCUGUGAAAGUCCAGGGCUCAACCCUGGAAUGCCGGUGGAAACUGCCAAGCUAGAGUCCGGAAGAGGCGAGUGGAAUUCCUGGUGUAGCGGUGAAAUGCGGCAGAUAUCAGGAGGAACACCAAUGGCGAAGGCAGCUCGCUGGGACGGUACUGACGCUGGAGACGCGAAAGCGUGGGGAGCAAACAGG